rnacentral:rRNA from 1 species
AUGGGAGCCUCCAUGCAGUCGAGCGGAAACGAGUUAUCUGAACCUUCGGGGAACGAUAACGGCGUCGAGCGGCGGACGGGUGAGUAAUGCCUGGGAAAUUGCCCUGAUGUGGGGGAUAACCAUUGGAAACGAUGGCUAAUACCGCAUAAUAGCUUCGGCUCAAAGAGGGGGACCUUCGGGCCUCUCGCGUCAGGAUAUGCCCAGGUGGGAUUAGCUAGUUGGUGAGGUAAGGGCUCACCAAGGCGACGAUCCCUAGCUGGUCUGAGAGGAUGAUCAGCCACACUGGAACUGAGACACGGUCCAGACUCCUACGGGAGGCAGCAGUGGGGAAUAUUGCACAAUGGGCGCAAGCCUGAUGCAGCCAUGCCGCGUGUAUGAAGAAGGCCUUCGGGUUGUAAAGUACUUUCAGCAGUGAGGAAGGCGGGUGUGUUAAUAGCACAUUCGUUUGACGUUAGCUGCAGAAGAAGCACCGGCUAACUCCGUGCCAGCAGCCGCGGUAAUACGGAGGGUGCGAGCGUUAAUCGGAAUUACUGGGCGUAAAGCGCAUGCAGGUGGUUUGUUAAGUCAGAUGUGAAAGCCCGGGGCUCAACCUCGGAAUUGCAUUUGAAACUGGCAGACUAGAGUACUGUAGAGGGGGGUUAGAAUUUCCAGGUGUAGCGGUGAAAUGCGUAAAAGAUCUGAAGGAAUACCGGUUGGGCGAAGGCGGCCCCCCUGGACAGAUACUGAACACUCCAAAUGCGAAAGGCGUGGGGGAGCAAACAGGAUUUAAAUACCCUGGGGUAGUCAAA